rnacentral:rRNA from 1 species
GCUGGCGGCAGGCCUAACACAUGCAAGUCGAGCGGUAGCACAGAGAAGCUUGCUUCUUGGGUGACGAGCGGCGGACGGGUGAGUAACGCGUAGGAAUCUACCUAAUGGUGGGGGAUAGCCCAGGGAAACUUGGAUUAAUACCGCAUAAGUCCUAAGGGAGAAAGCGGGGGAUCUUCGGACCUCGUGCCAUUAGAUGAGCCUGCGUAAGAUUAGCUAGUUGGUGAGGUAAGAGCUCACCAAGGCGACGAUCUUUAGCUGGUCUGAGAGGAUGAUCAGCCACACUGGGACUGAGACACGGCCCAGACUCCUACGGGAGGCAGCAGUGGGGAAUAUUGGACAAUGGGGGCAACCCUGAUCCAGCCAUGCCGCGUGUGUGAAGAAGGCCUUCGGGUUGUAAAGCACUUUCAGAUGUGAGGAAAGGUUACAGAUUAAUACUCUGUAGCUGUGACGUUAACAUCAGGAAGAAGGACCGGCUAACUCCGUGCCAGCAGCCGCGGUAAUACGGAGGGUCCGAGCGUUAAUCGGAAUUACUGGGCGUAAAGCGCGCGUA